AUGACCUGUGCUGUUUCAUUUCUUCUGCGCUUUCCCCGGGGAUCCAACAGACCCCUGUGGAGUUCCAGUCCUGGGACUGCCUCCUGCUUGCUUUCCCGCAAGCGUCAGAGCAGGGAAGGGGUUGAAGGGGAUAGAAGACGGGAAUCAACCCUCGUUACUCCUCCGAUGACAACAGUGGAGAUAAAGCACCCGGAGAGGGUUGCCUGUCUUUCCAAUACCACUGGAGCGAUUCAGGCCUACCACAGAAGCCCACUUUGUCUUCUACUCUGA
rnacentral:lncRNA from 1 species